AACAGGGAUUGCCUUAGUAGCGGCGAGUGAAGCGGCAAAAGCUCAAAUUUGAAAUCUGGCUCUUUCAGAGUCCGAGUUGUAAUUUGAAGAAGGUAUCUUUGGGUCUGGCUCUUGUCUAUGUUUCUUGGAACAGAACGUCACAGAGGGUGAGAAUCCCGUGCGAUGAGAUGAUCCAGGCCUAUGUAAAGUUCCUUCGAAGAGUCGAGUUGUUUGGGAAUGCAGCUCUAAGUGGGUGGUAAAUUCCAUCUAAAGCUAAAUAUUGGCGAGAGACCGAUAGCGAACAAGUACAGUGAUGGAAAGAUGAAAAGAACUUUGAAAAGAGAGUGAAAAAGUACGUGAAAUUGUUGAAAGGGAAGGGCUUGAGAUCAGACUUGGUAUUUUGUAUGUUACUUCUUCGGGGGUGGCCUCUACAGUUUAUCGGGCCAGCAUCAGUUUGGGCGGUAGGAGUAUUGCGUUGGAAUGUGGCACGGCUUCGGUUGUGUGUUAUAGUCUUUCUUUUUAUACUGCCAGCCUAGACUGAGGACUGCGGUUUAUACCUAGGAUGUUGGCAUAAUGAUCUUAAGUCGCUGGCUCUUUCAGAGUCCGAGUUGUAAUU
rnacentral:rRNA from 1 species